UCGCACGGGUGAGUAACACGUAUGCAAUCCACCUGUAACAGGGGGAUAACCCGGAGAAAUCGGACUAAUACCCCAUAAUAUGGGCGCUCCGCAUGGAGAGUUCAUUAAAGAGAGCAAUUUUGGUUACAGACGAGCAUGCGCUCCAUUAGCCAGUUGGCGGGGUAACGGCCCACCAAGGCGACGAUGGAUAGGGGUUCUGAGAGGAAGGUCCCCCACAUUGGAACUGAGACACGGUCCAA
rnacentral:rRNA from 1 species